UACGUAGGGAGCAAGCGUUAUCCGGAUUUAUUGGGUGUAAAGGGUGCGUAGACGGGAAGGCAAGUUGGUUGUGAAAUCCCUCGGCUUAACUGAGGAACUGCAACCAAAACUAUCUUUCUUGAGUGCUGGAGAGGAAAGUGGAAUUCCUAGUGUAGUGGUGAAAUGCGUAGAUAUUAGGAGGAACACCAGUGGCGAAGGCGACUUUCUGGACAGUAACUGACGUUGAGGCACGAAAGUGUGGGGAGCAAACAGG
rnacentral:rRNA from 1 species